rnacentral:rRNA from 1 species
GACGAACGCUGGCGGCGUGCUUAACACAUGCAAGUCGAACGGAAAGGCCCUGCUUUUUUGGGGUUCUCGAGUGGCGAACGGGUGAGUAACACGUGAGUAACCUGCCCUUGACUUUGGGAUAACUUCAGGAAACUGGGGCUAAUACCGUAUAGGAGCUCCUGCUGCAUGGUGGGGGUUGGAAAGUUUCGGCGGUUGGGGAUGGACGCGCGGCUUAUCAGCUUGUUGGUGGGGUAGUGGCUUACCAAGGCUUUGACGGGUAGCCGGCCUGAGAGGGUGACCGGCCACAUUGGGACUGAGAUACGGCCCAGACUCCUACGGGAGGCAGCAGUGGGGAAUAUUGUCCAAUGGGCGGACGCCUGAUGCAGAAACGCCGCGUGCGGGAUGACGGCCUUCGGGUUGUAAACCGCUUUCGCCUGUGACGAAGCGUGAGUGACGGUAAUGGGUAAAGAAGCACCGGCUAACUACGUG